UCGGCUACAACCUACGCUCGGGUCAAGACGCUCAUGCCGAGACUACCGAGUCGGCUGAGUAAGUAAACAGUGCUGAGUCGAAUGUAGGUUACGUAGAUCGUAGCAGAGCCUGCAGAAUGCGCGACGAAGAAGAUGAUGAAGCGCGAUGAUGCGUGAGCAGCGUGAGUAUGGUCGGGCUUGGAGAUCUCGGAAUCUCAGCACAGCAUCGAGGACGACGCAGAGGUGCUUCCGAAACAUUCCCAUGAAUUAUUGCAGUGAAUAUAAUUAUAACGGAAGAAUCGAUGGACAUCGAGGAACAUAAUUGCGGGAUAUCGCGGUAUCAAUCAUAGUAGCAAGUGACCUGUGCAACGAGAGGAGAAGGAGGAGGUCUAGGAAAGGCAUCGGGUUCCGGCAGAACAACCUUGGGAAUCAUCGUAGCGACGUUGCUGAAUAAUUCUGCCGCUGCGCAUCGGUCGGUGAGUGAUAAAUAAACAUUGCAUCUUUUUUUAUUUAAAAUAUUAAAGUUAUUUUUAUCAAAUUCUUUUAUAAAAAAAACAUUAGUAUUUUUAGGUUAAAUUAAAAUAUAUCGUGUGCGUGGGUGUGUGUGUGCAUGCGAUUAUUUUAAACAUAUAUACAAAUUUGAAUAAUAAGACAGUAAAACUUGCUCUUCACAAUUAUAGCUUGAAAUAACAAUAAAUAAGGUAAACUUAUAGUCGCCAGUAAUAAUAAACGAUAAAUGAAUGUUAAUAAGUCGACUUUCUGGCAAAAUUCCGUUUAUUAGAGAAACAACGUUUCGAUUGCAAAAUUUGUAAUUGAAACCUGAAAAAGACCUAAAUUAAAGGUCGAAACGUUGUUUCUCUAAUAAACGGAAUUUUGCCAGAAAGUCGACUUAUUAACAUUUAUUUAUAGCUUGAAAUAACUUGUAAACUCACCUCAAUGUUGAUUUUGAUUUUCAAGGAGGUCAAAGUCAUUUUUAUAUUAAAAGGAUCAUCAUUUUUUAUUAAAACACGAAAGAUUUCUUAAAAAUAAUCAUUAAUAAUUGAUUUUUAAUUAAAAAAUCAUUGUAAGCAUAUCGAAUACAUCUUGUGCAAACACUGAUAUGACGAGAAUAUUGUCAUGAUAAUAUCAAGAAAAAUCUCUUCCCUCCUAUCUUUUUUUACAAUGAGAAACACAUGAUAAGAUAUACGUUUAUACUUA